rnacentral:rRNA from 1 species
GAUGAACGCUGGCGGCGUGCCUAAUACAUGCCAGUCGAGCGAACAGACGAGGAGCUUGCUCCUCUGACGUUAGCGGCGGACGGGUGAGUAACACGUGGAUAACCUACCUAUAAGACUGGGAUAACUUCGGGAAACCGGAGCUAAUACCGGAUAAUAUAUUGAACCGCAUGGUUCAAUAGUGAAAGACGGUUUUGCUGUCACUUAUAGAUGGAUCCGCGCCGCAUUAGCUAGUUGGUAAGGUAACGGCUUACCAAGGCAACGAUGCGUAGCCGACCUGAGAGGGUGAUCGGCCACACUGGAACUGAGACACGGUCCAGACUCCUACGGGAGGCAGCAGGAGGGAAUCUUCCGCAAGGGGCGAAAGCUUGACGGAGCAACGCCGCGUGAGUGAUGAAGGUCUUCGGAUCGUAAAACUCUGUUAUUAGGGAAGAACAAAUGUGUAAGUAACUAUGCACGUCUUGACGGUACCUAAUCAGAAAGCCACGGCUAACUACGU